GAAGUCAAUCGAGAGGAAAAAUAUUAACUAUUGAAAAAUCGUUUGAUAGAGAGAUAAGUCUACUCCACCAUCUUCUCUAGCCGAUUGGAUCUUCAGCGCAUAAAGCUUUGACGUAUGAACAAAUCUCCGACAAAGCUCAAUCGUGCUUGCGGCAAGACAGGGCUCCAUGGCAGACACACCACGAGGUGGAGCAACUCAAUUAGGCCUUGGCUAGUGCGCCAUGGAAAUCCAGAGAGAAAUUUGAAGCAUGUGACGUUGUCAUUAUAUCUCCGAGUGGGCCAUUCAAAUAAUUUGAUUUACAGAAAUCUAGAUUUUCAAUUUCAAAUUUUACAGAGUUGUCAAAACCUUGAGUUUCUCUCUCUUUGAAUUGACUAUUUUAAAUCUAUGUACCCUAAAACAGUCAUAGUAUCGAAAGAAGCUUCAUCUUAACAAUCAACUCUUGUUAGGUAGAGAUUAUGACUUCUACUUGCAUCACCAUGAAAAUCUUGCUCAUAUUUUCGUUAUGGUGAACACUUUUAUCAUGUUAGUUACAUGACCAUCAGGAGAAACUUUUGUUUGACCUGAUCUUCCUCAGAAUCAUAUGAAUGUGUGACUGGUGGGGUGGAUGUGAUGUUGGGAUUGAAGGGUUAAAUUGUAAUGUUGUUUGGAAGGUAAGAUUGUGGGGGGUUUGUUGGUGGUUGAUUUGUGGGUAAUAUGGGGGGUUUGUUAUUGAUUACCACUAUGAUGAUUAUGGCUGUGAUCAAUGCUGGCUUCUGUUCGAUUACCCACAGAUUUGGAAGCUAUAGAAUUUGUAGGUUGUUGUGUGGCAGGAUGUGCAAUCUAGAAUAGGUGGGUGUUGAUGGAGAAUAAAUGAAAAAAAUUGAAAGAUGAUGGGAAAAGUAUAUGACAGGACAAGAAAAAGACCACCAAAUUCAACACCCAUCACAGCGGCAGAAUCUGUUUAUCUGUUUCUUCUCAGUCAUUAAUUUUGUAGUUGGAAAAUGAAAUGUUGUAUGGUCGUUGGACCUCUUUUUCCCACUCAAAGGUUUAAAAGAAGAGAAACAGCUAACCACCAAUCAAACCUCCGUUUUUGUCAGUCAUUAUUCAUUCCAAAUUCCACUCCUUUCUCUCUGAAAAACCUACCAUUUAAAUAAAAUCCUUAAUUUCCCCUCUCACAAACAAAUAUGUAUACAUUGAAAGAAAAAGUAACAGAGGAGCUUUCUCGUCUCUUCGCUGAUUCUCCUCCUCCUCUUCAACAUCCACAGUUUGCACAUUUUGGUGAGCUUGGUUGGUGGCAUGAUAUAAAUGUGUAGGUGGGAGGGAUCGUACUCUAGAGGGGGGAAUUAUUUGUCGUCUUUCUUUUCCUUUGUUGUUCCUUUGGCAAGCUCUGAUGGUUCUAAAUCUGAAAAACAGCAAUAUGAUCUUAAAUCAGUUCAUGAAGAUUUUGUUCAGCAAAACGAACAGUUGGAUAAAUAUGAAGAAUGUAUCACAAGUAGUCUACUUAAGCAAAAGUGUCCAGUUAAUGAGAAUAAGCAAGGGCAACCAGGUAGGCCCAAUGAUGAAUAUAAGCACUGUGCCUCUGGGAGUAGUAGUGGGCUGGAAGGAAAGAGAUAAUCUUGUAGAUGAUAGCACAGAACCAAAACCUUUAAGGUUGAAAUAUAAUUAUGAAGCAAGUUUUCUUAACAGGAGUUAAUUGGGAAUAAAUUUUUUUAUAACAA